rnacentral:rRNA from 1 species
CCAUCUGCCUAGUGGGGGAAGCCUUCCGAAGGAAGAUUAAUACCGCAUGUGGUCUUCGGACUAAAGGUGGCUUCGGCUGCCGCUUUAGGAUGGGCUCGCGGCCUAUCAGCUUGUUGGUGAGGUAACGGCUCACCAAGGCAACGACGGGUAGCUGGUCUGAGAGGACGAUCAGCCUCACUGGAACUGAGACACGGUCCAGACACCUACGGGUGGCAGCAGUCGAGAAUCAUUCACAAUGGACGAAAGUCUGAUGGUGCAACGCCGCGUGGAGGAUGACGGCCUUCGGGUUGUAAACUCCUGUCAUCUGGGAGUAAUCCUUAUUCGUUAAUAGCGUGUAAGGUUGAUAGUACCAGAAGAGGAAGGGACGGCUAACUUCGUGCCAGCAGCCGCGGUAAUACGAAGGUCCCAAGCGUUGUUCGGAAUCACUGGGCGUAAAGCGUGCGUAGGCGGCAUGGUAAGUCAGAUGUGAAAUCUCUGGGCUCAACCCGGAAACUGCAUCCGAUACUGCCUUGCUAGAGUAAUGGAGGGGUAGCUGGAAUUCUCGGUGUAGCAGUGAAAUGCGUAGAUAUCGAGAGGAACACUCGUGGCGAAGGCGAGCUACUGGACAUUUACUGACGCUGAGGCACGAAGGCCAGGGUAGCGAAUGGGAUUAGAUACCUGG